rnacentral:rRNA from 1 species
CCUCCGGGGCCGGGUGCGUCCUGCCGCCUCUGCCCGGGGGCCCCUCCGCCGGACACUGCUACCUACCCGCACUACCGUCCCUACCGGGACGACCACGCACGGGGACUCUUCGGACCCUUGCGCUGACCUGACUGACGCCUACCGUCGGACUUACGCUACGCUUGGUGGGGUNCCACGGCCUACCCCCGGCGACCGACUCUGUACGCGGGUCUUGACGACGGACUGACUCCGC